AAGAAUAUAGUAUUUGGCAACAUGGUCCUAAGGUGAAAUUCAUGCAGCAAGCACAUAAUGAUGUAACAAAAAGAUAAGAUAAGUGUUAGGAAUAAUUAUUUCUUUGUCUAAUUUGCAUAUCUGGAGAUUCUUUUAAGAUUAUUUUAUUAGAGGCCACAGAAAGUCAAAAUGGUUGCUUAAGGCUUAAACUAAAAAUCCGAUAGGCAUGUGUCUUUUAUGAAAGAUAUCUCAAAUUGUCUCUUUCCCCAUUUCUCAUCUUUCAAUUUCCAGUGAUUUAUAACGCAUGGAGCGCUGCAUUGCAAGUAGAUCCUUCAUUUUCAGGAAAUUUAGAUAAUUUAGGAUCCUUACCAAUUUAGGCAAGGAUAAAGACACUUCCUUGGGCAAAAUUAGGACUGCAAGGGGGUUAGCUUGGUCUGAGAAACUUUUUGAUCUAGAUCAAAUCCAUUUUAAUUUGGGUUUAACAUCUAGAUAUAACAACCGAAAAUUGAUCGAGCAGGGUUGGGUUAACAAAUUUAUAUUUUAGAUCCAAUAGAAAAUCAAGUUAGAUAUAGUUUAGAUCCAAAUGAAACCAUAUUUCCAGAGCUGGGAUUGGUUAAGGGAAAAAAGGGUAAGCCAAGCAUUGAGUUUAUUUUGAGAUAUGGCUGCUAACAGUGCUUCUCUUUCUUUAUAAGCAGGGAGACUUCUCCGAAAUUCAAGCAUUUUUUGUCCUUCUGGUGAUUCCUGCCAAGCCUGUUGUUGAUUACGCAAUUGUAAACUUCUUCGCCUCAGAAUUUUCUCCAUGACAACACUAGUAGAUAAUUGAGGGUCCUGUUGCUCAGGGAGACCUUCAUCAGUGGUGAAACUGUCAGUGCUACUUGACCUUGAAAAGGCAAUAUCAGGAAAGCUCCCUCGAUUUGUUCGCUUCCGAGCAAGGUAUUCUCCAAGCAAAUGAUCCACUUCUCUUUGCAAACCAUUAGGAAUAGAGACCUCCCUCUGAGGUCUUUUAUCAUCAAGAUCUGAUCGGUAGUUUGGCAAAGGUACCUUGCUGAAAACAACCACCCUUCCAUAUUGGCGGCUAUAUAAACCCAUUCUUUCAGCUAGUGCAGAUAGCUGCUCAUAAUCACGCCUGUCCUUUUUCUCUCGUGAUACCACCUCUUGCUCGCUUCCAUUGCGGAGAAGCAUACUUAAUUUCCACUUCCACUCAUCAACAUUAUCUAGAGUGGAGGCACCUAUAAAAAUUCUUGGUAUGAGUGAGAUAAGGAAACUAGAUGGUAAAGAAAAUGAAUUUAUAGAGUUGUAACUUAUACUGCAUUGAAACUCAAAAUCUUACAAUUCCCACAUCAUAGCUCCAAGCAUCCCACUCUUCCACAAAAAUGGGUUUGUUUAGCCCAAGUACAAAGAUUGGGUCAUGGUUAUGGACGAAAAGUAAAGCUUGAAGAUUUCAUAUUUUGCAUUUCAUAAAAAGGUGUAUAUCAUGACUAAACAAAUAUAAAAUUCAGUGACUGGAUCGAUUUUCGUAAUUGGUUCCCUAAGGUAACAAUGUGAGCAGUGUAGGUGUCUGGGGGAAGGCAGAGAGAGGUGGGAUCAUGUAUUCUCAAACUGGUUGUAUUGGUAUAGCUACCUAGCACGCUUUACUUUAUAAUUUAUUCAAGAAUCAAUCAAGUCAUGAUCAGGUCAAAACAUGGAAGAUCCUAAUUCAAACCCAAAUAUCAGGGCAGCAACCUAAGCAUCCAGCCUCCUCCAAACACUGCCACCCUUCUUCAUUCCUCUUUGCCUUCAACUUAUCCAUCCACUACAGGCCUUGUAUGACCACUAUUGGCCCCCUUCAUCCACCCCCUCUGCUUUCAACCUCAUCAAUCCCCUACCAGCCGCAUUUUUCGCCAUCAUCCUCCUUUGACCAAUCCAACCCGCUUCUAGCUUCACCUCUAUCUAGCAUCCUUCAUCGAUGUUACCAUGGCCAACCUCCUCUACUCGAACCC
rnacentral:lncRNA from 1 species